rnacentral:tRNA from 1 species
UGGCUCAGUUGGUGGAGCAUGUGACUCUUGAUCUCAGGGUCGUAGGUUCAAGUCCCAC